rnacentral:misc_RNA from 1 species
UAAUGGAUUAUAUUAACAGCCUGUAUAUACAAUUAUCUUUUUAUGUAUAAAAUUAAAAAAUUUCUGAUGGCAUUUAAAUGAUAAAGAUUUUAUUAUGUUAUAUUAAAUUGAAGCUAAAUUUAAAUAAAGAAAGUAUUUUCGUUUUACAUUUUUAGAACAUAUUUGAAAAUUUGAAAGUCAUUCCAAAGAUCAGAGUAAAUACGAAUGGCAGGAACUGCAACGGAUCCUGCAAUAGUUUGAUUGGUCAAUGAAAUACAGUUCAUCAUGGAGUACGUCGAUGCUGCAAAAAGUGAAAGCAACGACAACUCUUGUAACUCAACUUCUUAUACUGAAUUAGUAUCAAACACAAAUUCUAAUGAAAAUUUAUUGAUAGAAACAAAAGAUUCAACAUCAAAAUAUGAGAUUCAAGAUAUACAAAAAACAGAUAGUAAUAUUGCAACUACCUCGCAAGAUCCACCCCAAGAGAAUAUAGACUUCAAAGUAAUUUAUAAUAAACAAAGGAUUAAUGUAAAUUUUCCACUUGAUGGUACAGUGGCAGAAUUAAAGGCUCAUCUUCAAAACAUCAUAUCUGUGCCUCAAGCUAUGCAAAAAGUUAUGAUUAAAGGAUUAGCCAAAGAUGAACAAACAUUAAGAAGUUUGGGUGUGACGAAAGGUGCCAAAGUUAUGGUAGUAGGAUCAAAAUUAGAUGAUGUAUUAGCCAUUUCAAUUCCAACAAAGCAAGAUUUAUCAGAUGAAGCUGCUUCCACUACAAAUAAGGAACCUUUAUCUCAACAGAAAAUGCAUAGGAAAGUAUUAGAUAAAGGUAUGCCAGAUGAUGUGAUGCCUGGUAUAUUAGAUAGUAAGGAACCACUACCAGAAUUUCCAUUGGCUGGCAUGUUAAAUAAAUCUGGUGGUAAAGUUAGAUUAACAUUUAAAUUGGAACAAGAUCAGCUUUGGAUUGGUACAAAAGAAAGAACAGAUAAAAUACCUAUGAAUUCCAUAAAAGGUGUACACAGUGAACCAAUACAUGAUCACCCAGAAUACCAUAUUAUGGCUAUACAACUAGGCACAACUGAGGCUUCGAGAUAUUGGAUAUAUUGGGUUCCUGCACAAUAUAUAUCAGCUAUAAAAGAUGCUAUUCUUGGCAAGUGGUGCUACUUCUGAUCAAAUAUUGAAGGAAAUUUCUGUCUUUUCAAAAACAAAGCGUAAUCAGGUGUAAGCAUUGAUACAAACACGACUGUACUAGUCACACAUUUUUAACAGAGGAAGUGAAGAAAGAAGUUAUGAUGUUGCAUUUACAAUCUUUUGAAGUUCGUCGAGAAAUAAUUCAACUUUUACUAGAUUUAACAAUAUUAAAUAUAAUACAUAGAUUAAAAUUAUAAUAAUUUAAAUAUUCAAAAAAAUGAAUUGUUUCAUAUUUUUAUAAAUUUAUUUUCUUAAAUGUUACAUUAAAGACAAAAAUGUUGCAAACUAAUUUGACUUGAUUAAAAAAGAAUUAAAGAGUACGAAUUAUAAAUAACAUUCAUCAAAUUGCAAUAAAUUAAGUUAUCAAGAAAUAUAGUCCGCAUUUUAUAUGAAUAAAAAAUGUAAUAAUAACAAUGUUCGAUUAAAAAACAACGAAUUUGUCAAAAUAUAAUUGCACACGUCUUGAUAUUGGCCUACAUAUAAGAUAAAAAAAAUUGUCUAGGAGAAUAUAAAUUAUCUUAAAAUUUUAUUAUAUACUAAAAUUCAAGUGGACUGUAUAUCUCGACGAGCGUAAAUUAUUACGUAACAUUAGUAUUAUAACUGCUGUAAAUUAGGUUUUAUACUGUAUAACGUGUACAACUGAAAAAAUGAGAAUUUGGAAACAACAAAUCAAACUUGUAUUUAUUAUAUAUCUAUAUGGAAUUCAUAACUAUUUGCACAUUUGAAAAAUUCAAUGUCCAUUUAAAACAAGACUUGUACAUCAUGUUGUGUGAUUUGAUAAAAAAUAAACAAUUUUAAGUCUUC